ACGUAGCGCAGUUGGUAGCGCGUCUGCUUUGGGAGCAGAAUGUCGCAGGUUCAAAUCCUGUCGUU
rnacentral:tRNA from 1 species